CCUGCUGAAUGGCGUACGAGAUGGGAGCUGUCUCAACCAGAGAUUCGGUGAAAUUGUAGUGGAGGUGAAAAUUCCUCCUACCCGCGGCAAGACGGAAAGACCCCGUGGACCUUUACUACAACUUAGCACUGCUAACGGGAAUAUCAUGCGCAGGAUAGGUGGGAGGCUUUGAAGUAAGGGCUUUGGCUCUUAUGGAGCCAUCCUUGAGAUACCACCCUUGAUGUUUC
rnacentral:rRNA from 1 species